rfam:Triticum urartu cultivar G1812 contig138225, whole genome shotgun sequence.
GAUAUACUCCCUCCGUCCGGAAAAGCUUGUCCCUCAAAUGGAUGUAUCUAGCACUUGGUGCUAGAUACAUCCAUUUGAGGGACAAGCUUUUUCGGACGGAGGGAGUAUAUG